GUGGCCUGAUGGUUAGAGCGCACGCCUCGGAUGUGUGAGGUCGUGGGUUCGAUCCCCGGUCAAGUCA